UCCCUCUUAGCUGAAUCAGUAAGUAAUCUGCCUGUAAUGCAGGAGAUCUGGGUUCGAUUCCUGGAUGGGAAG
rnacentral:tRNA from 1 species